rnacentral:tRNA from 2 species
AACGGAGCCACUACGAAGAAAUUCCGGGAGUUACGAAAGAAGCUUCGGACUCAUAUUGUUCACGGGUUGAGA